rnacentral:rRNA from 1 species
GUGGGGAAUAUUCCGCAAUGGACGAAAGUCUGACGGAGCAACGCCGCGUGAGUGAUGAAGGUUUUCGGACUGUAAAGCUCUGUUGUUUAGGACGAAAGUGCCUGUUGCAAACAGUUACAGGUAUUGACGGUACUAAACGAGGAAGCCACGGCUAACUACGUGCCAGCAGCCGCGGUAAUACGUAGGUGGCAAGCGUUGUCCGGAAUUAUUGGGCGUAAAGAGCAUGUAGGCGGGAAUCUAAGUCUGUUGUGAAAAUGCGGGGCUCAACCCCGUAUUGCGAUGGAAACUGGGUGUCUUGAGUGCAGGAGAGGAAAGGGGAAUUCCCAGUGUAGCGGUGAAAUGCGUAGAUAUUGGGAGGAACACCAGUGGCGAAGGCGCCUUUCUGGACUGUGUCUGACGCUGAGAUGCGAAAGCCAGGGUAGCGAACGGGAUUAGAAACCCCGGUAGUCC